rnacentral:rRNA from 1 species
GAUGAACGCUAGCGGCAGGCCUAAUACAUGCAAGUCGAACGGUGUAGCAAUACACAGUGGCGCACGGGUGCGUAACACGUAUGCAAUCUACCUUACAUUGGGGGAUAGCCUUUCGAAAGGGAGAUUAAUACCGCAUAAGACAGUAACUAGGCAUCUAGUAGCUGUUAAAGAUUUAUCGAUGUAAGCUGGGCAUGCGUCCAAUUAGUUAGUUGGCGAGGUAAUGGCUAACCAAGGCGAUGAUUGGUAGGGAAACUGAGAGGUCAAUCCCCCACACUGGCGCUGAGAUACGGGCCAGACUCCUACGGGAGGCAGCAGUAGGGAAUAUUGGGCAAUGGGCGCAAGCCUGACCCAGCCAUGCCGCGUGCAGGAAGAAGGCGUUAUGCGUUGUAAACUGCUUUUAUACAGGAAGAAACGACCCUUGCGAGGGGCAUUGACGGUACUGUAUGAAUAAGCACCGGCUAACUCCGUGCCAGCCGCCGCCGUAACAC